UUCUAUGGGCGGGUCUUUGGUGGGGGAGCCUCGCGGCUCGCCGGUUUGUGGUGCUACGCGCCGGUCUGUUAACCCUAUCAUUGUGCCCGCUCACCCAG
rnacentral:antisense_RNA from 1 species